GCGCUACUUAGGAGUCCUACAAUAGGACGAAACGGCCGUCCAGUGC
rnacentral:hammerhead_ribozyme from 1 species